rnacentral:rRNA from 1 species
AUGCCGGGCCUUUGUAGGUCUGGCAAUUGGAAUGAGAACAAUUUAAACCCCUUAUCGAGUAUCAAUUGGAGGGCAAGUCUGGUGCCAGCAGCCGCGGUAAUUCCAGCUCCAAUAGCGUAUAUUAAAGUUGUUGCAGUUAAAAAGCUCGUAGUUGGAUUUGUGGCUGUCACGGGCGGCCUAUCACUUAGUGUUAGUGCUUGCCUGUGUCGCCAUCCUUGGGUGGAGCCCGUGUGGCAUUAGGUUGUCGUGCGGGGGAUGCCCAUCGUUUACUGUGAGAAAAUUAGAGUGUUCAAAGCAGGCUUAUGCCGUUGAAUAUGUUAGCAUGGAAUAAUAAGAUAGGACCUCGGUACUAUUUUGUUGGUUUGCGCACCGAGGUAAUGAUUAAUAGGGACAGUUGGGGGUAUUCGUAUUCCAUUGUCAGAGGUGAAAUUCUUGGAUUUCUGGAAGACGAACUACUGCGAAAGCAUUUACCAAGGAUGUUUUCAUUAAUCAAGAACGAAAGUUAGGGGAUCGAAGAUGAUUAGAUACCAUCGUAGUCUUAACCAUAAACUAUGCCGACAAGGGAUUGGCGGAGUUUCGUUUUGUCUCCGUCAGCACCUUAUGAGAAAUCACAAGUCUUUGGGUUCCGGGGGGAGUAUGGUCGCAAGGCUGAAACUUAAAGAAAUCGACGGAAGGGCACCACCAGGAGUGGAGCCUGCGGCUUAAUUUGACACAACACGGGAAAACUUACCAGGUCCAGACAAAGUGAGGAUUGACAGAUUGAGAGCUCUUUCUUGAUUCUUUGGGUGGUGGUGCAUGGCCGUUCUUAGUUGGUGGAGUGAUUUGUCUGGUUAAUUCCGUUAACGAACGAGACCCCUGCCUGCUAAAUAGCCUAGCAAAUGAGUUUUCAUUCGCCGGGGCUUCUUAGAGGGACGUGCAUUCUAUUAGAUGCAGGAAGAUAGGGGCAAUAACAGGUCUGUGAUGCCCUUAGAUGUCCUGGGCCGCACGCGCGCUACACUGAUGCGUUCAACGAGUUUCUUCCUUGGCCGAGAGGCCUGGGCAAUCUUUUGAACGCGCAUCGUGAUAGGGAUUGACACUUGCAAUUAUUUGUCAUGAACGAGGAAUUCCUAGUAAACGCAGAUCAUCAAUCUGCAUUGAUUACGUCCCUGCCCUUUGUACACACCGCCCGUCGCACCUACCGAUUGAAUGGUCCGGUGAAGCCUCGGGAUUGUGGCGAGUUUCCUUUAUUGGGAGUUUGUCGCGAGAACUUGUCUA